rnacentral:rRNA from 1 species
CUCCUGGAAACGGGUGGUAAUGCCGGAUGUUCCACAUGAGCGCAUGCGAGUGUGGGAAAGGCUUUUUGCGGCAUGGGAUGGGGUCGCGUCCUAUCAGCUUGUUGGUGGGGUAACGGCCUACCAAGGCGUUGACGGGUAGCCGGCCUGAGAGGGCGACCGGCCACAUUGGGACUGAGAUACGGCCCAGACUCCUACGGGAGGCAGCAGUGGGGAAUAUUGCACAAUGGGCGCAAGCCUGAUGCAGCGACGCCGCGUGCGGGAUGGAGGCCUUCGGGUUGUAAACCGCUUUUGUUCAAGGGCAAGGCACGGUUUCGGCCGUGUUGAGUGGAUUGUUCGAAUAAGCACCGGCUAACUACGUGCCAGCAGCCGCGGUAAUACGUAGGGUGCAAGCGUUAUCCGGAUUUAUUGGGCGUAAAGGGCUCGUAGGCGGUUCGUCGCGUCCGGUGUGAAAGUCCAUCGCUUAACGGUGGAUCCGCGCCGGGUACGGGCGGGCUUGAGUGCGGUAGGGGAGACUGGAAUUCCCGGUGUAACGGUGGAAUGUGUAGAUAUCGGGAAAGAACACC